UCUGCUGAGUUUAUUUGCAUAUGGUGUCAUUAUCCAACGGCCCGACUCCUUUAAGGGCACCUGUCAGGAGACUGAGAAUCAUCCUCUCUUCCAGCUUUCAAAGAUGGAGACAGACAGACUCCUGCUAUGGGUGCUGCUGCUCUGGGUUCCAGGCUCCACUGGUGACACUGUGCUGACCCAGUCUCCUGCUUUGGCUGUGUCUCUAGGGCAGAGGGUCACCAUCUCUUGUAGGGCCAGCAAAAGUGUCAGUACAUAUAUGCACUGGUACCAACAGAAAUCGGGACAGCAACCCAAACUCCUGAUCUAUAGUGCAUCCAACCUAGAAUCUGGAGUCCCUUCCAGGUUCAGUGGGAGUGGGUCUGGGACAGACUUUACCCUCACCAUAGAUCCUGUGGAGGCUGAUGACAUAGCAAACUAUUACUGUCAGCAGAGUAAUGAACUUCCUCCCACAUUGCUCCAGGGCUGCACAAAAACCUCCUGGGUUUGCAGAUCAGAAAGGCUCAGUCUUUCAGUUCUCUCUUACUUUCUAACAUCUCAACAGAGAGCUUAAGCUUGUUUGAAAAAA